CUUAUACUCCCUUCUUCUGAAAAUACUUGUUGAAAAAAUGAAUAAAAAUGAUGUAUGUAGAAUUAAAAUACAUCUAGAAACAUCUAUUUCUCCAACAAAUAUUUCUUGAUGGAGGGAGUAUUUG
rfam:Triticum urartu cultivar G1812 contig53388, whole genome shotgun sequence.